rnacentral:lncRNA from 1 species
UUCCUCCUCAUUCUCACACCUAUCUCAGUUCAAAUUGGGAUGUUGAACCUGGUUGUAGCAUCCCUAUUUAUAGGAAAUAAAGGGCGACACCAUGGGAUGCCAACUCUUGGCAUCCCUUAACUCUUACAUGCCACCAUUUAAUUUUUAGCAUGGAAUCCCAAGAGCAAGGCAUAGAAAGGAAGUAUUUUAUCUAUAGAAGGACUC